UCAAAUUUUUCACAAAAAUAUACUAUCAUUCAAUGUCUAAUGCCUACAUACUAUUACAAACCAUUUAAAGUUUAAUAUAAAGUCUCUCAAAGUUAAAUACAUAUCAUUAAAGUUUGAUAGUAAAAUCUAAUUUUCUGUCAUCUGAAUAUUCCUGAUUGUCAUUCUCAUCAUAUUGUUGUGGUGAUGGUGGUCGAUUCAAGCUAGUCUUAUGCGCAUCAAGGUCGUAUGUAAGCGGCGAUGGCCUUGAUGGCCAUUGGAAUGUAGGAUUGGUGCUCGCCAUUAUAUUACAAAACUAUUACAAUGAAAUAGUACAUAGUAAUAAUAUCAUAAGCCUAGUAACGAUUCCUUCAUUCAACUUUUGGAUGUAGUAUCAAGAUAAAUCAAUGGUAUAAAUCGAAGGACAUCUUAGGAUUUAUGAAACUCCAUGACAACAACUAUGAUGUUCAUGAAGCAUAUUUAUGAAGAUUCCAGCUUCAUCCAAUGAAGAUGGAGAUGAAUAUCCUACAUGCUAUGAUUAUGCAUUAAAAUUGCAACCAUCCUUUCAUGAGCCAUAUUUUAUUUCAGCAAUGAAUUCAAACUCAUUUUUGCACAAAGGAUACACGAAACGACCUGUCGUCAAAAUGCUCAUUCGUAUGGGCGGACAUAGAAAAAAAUUCCAGGGGUUGCAUACAUGAUUUUAGGAGUUGCACGCCAAAAAAAAUUACAUUACGAAGAAAAAUAUCUGAAAGAAGUUACACUGUUCUGCAAAAUUUUAAGGAUUCCAUAGGCUACCCCGGGAACACCCUAAAUUCGUCCCUCCAUUCACAAUCCCAAUCAAUUUUUUGAGACCAUUCAAUAACUCUUCCGAGUUUCAAUUUUAAACUAGUUUAACUCUUAUCAAUCGUCAUAUAUAAAUGUUAAAAAAUACAACUAGAUAUAAAAUUUGUAAUACCAUAACAGUAGCACACUUAUAUUUUUUCUUAACAUAUCAACAUACUUCAAAGUUUUAUCUAUAAUAGCCAUGGACUUACAUUAAUGUUUUAUACAAAAUAGAUUAGGUAAAAUUCUUAAAUUAAUCAAAAUGUUAGUUUUUCUUAUAAGCUAUUAAUUAAUUACCAUACUGUAACUUUCAUCCAUUGCACUUUACAUGUUUACCAAUAUAUGCAAUAUACUUUAUCAUUUAACAAAAUAAGCAACGUUCCUAAAAAACAAAACAUACACUAAAAAUCCACAAACAUGUUAAUAUAAAAUUUUAAAUACCUUAAAGAUGCACCCCAAGGAGGCCAGAACUAAACAAUGAUUAAUAAUAUCCACGGAACUAGCAAUAGACUAAUAUAACAAAGAAACAAGCUGGAAUGUGUAUAAAGUGUUAAUUUCUAGCAAGACACAAGUACAUGCAUAUUCCACAUAAGUUUCAAAUUGGCAACUCACAUAAUAACAUAUAUACAUGAACACCAAACAAGCAAUCUAUGAUUGUUUAUGCGUGCCCCUUCCUAAUUAAAUUACGAAAAACAUUCUAUUUAGGUGUCAAAUUAUGAUUUAUUUUUCAAAAUAAAAUUCAAAACAUGUAAUUUGGCUAAAAACAUCAUAAACAUAAAAUACAAGAGUGAAAAAAGAUAUCUACCAGACUCACAUUUAUCUAGCAAAAAAAAUACAUAAUGAAAUCUUACACAAAAAAUAUCAUAAAUUUUAACAAAAAACUCAAAUAAAUUGUUAUAAAAAAACAAAAUGAUUACCUUGUAUAGCUCUUUUGUUGGAGCGGGGAGAAGCUGGAGGGAGGGCCGCAGAGGUGAUAACAUGUGAAAGAGAGGAUGAGAGAGUGAAAGUUACACGAUAGAGGGAGAGGAAGAGCUUGACAGAUGGUGGAUAUGAUCAGCCACAUGCACCAUACGUUACUAAAUGGUUAAUUACUCAAUGAUAAGGCAUUACAUCCUUUUAAAAUCUUUGUGGACAUGAUGCAUGUAAUGUC
rnacentral:lncRNA from 1 species